rnacentral:lncRNA from 1 species
UUAAACCACGCCUCUAUGUUUACGUUCGAUACCUUCAGCACCCCCGCAGAGUUCACAUCUCGCGGAAGAACUCUCGAAACAGGUCUCGAAUAAAACAUUUCACAAUCGAAGAAGGAUAUGAGACGACAACUCAUCACCUUCCUCCCCACUAUUCACAAAUUCAUAAAAAGCGUUAUCCGAUUAUCAUACCAUAAAAAGAAAGCCGCGGAGCGGCAGGGAUUCAAAGCCACACACGGCCAGUCCCGAAAUACAAACAAGGCCAUUCAAGGCCGAAACAUAAAAACAUAAAAAAAAUUUCUCGCAAGAGAUCUAACCAAAGUCACCCUCAGAACUUACGCCCCCUCUUCACCCGCUGCCUCAUCCGAGCCUGGAGCCGCGUCACUUCCGUUCUCUCCGACC